UGCAUGUGCGCAUGCGUAUUUACCUCCGGAGGUGACUUUCCCGUGGCUUUCGGGUCCGAUGGUGAUCGCCGCCUCUCCACCUUUCGGUACCGACGACUACCUUUCCACGAAGGUGGUCAGACAGGGAGUGAUACUGACCAAGGCUGCAGAGGAUGCUGAGACCCGAGGUGUCUUCAAAACAUCCACAGGCUUCAAGGACCUGGGCCAUGUCUCGAGGAGACAAGGACAAAGCAGGGGUAUAGCCAUCAGCCUGCCCCGCUCCCAGGUGGGUGGCAGAGAAGAGCAGACGAGGUUACUGAUGCAGGGGCCUGGGGGCCAGGCAAAGGGUGCCGAGGGGAUGCAAGAGCUUGGGAGAACAGGGCCCCCAUUGGCCGGUGGAGCGUCUGGGUGCCUGACUCAUUCCUCCCGGCUGGACAGGCUGGCCUUGACCUUCCUUCCUGCUCUUUCCACUCGCUUUCCCCAUUUAACUCACUGGUUCUUCAACCAAACCUGGUGCCUGGGCGGCUCCGCUCGUCCCUCCAUCUCUUUGAGGGUGUGGCGCUUGCCUCCUGUGUUCCAGAGACACCAAGUCCCACUGUGACGCAUGAGGGAUUCAUUGGAAACCAGAGGGCUGAUGGGGUGGCUGCACCUUGACUCCUAGAGCCUGGGAAGUCCCACAAUCAGACAUCAGAACAGGUGCCACAGUGUGGUACACCCAUCCUCAAGUAUCUGCGCUGCUGCAACGGGCAAUGAAAAAGGCUUGAAAUGUGACGGAAAGAGUCUCUGGUUUCCUCCACCUCGGCUCCCAGCUGCCCCUGUGCAUCUAUUUUUAGUGCAUCUAAUUUUGCAGGGAUCAAAGGCGGAUUGAAACCCUCAACAGGGAUGCAAAGAGGCCUAAGGUGAAGAAGGAGGAAAAGAGAGAGAAGGCUCACCGCCGGGCUCAGGAGAGGGAAGGGGGAAGGCAGAGGGGAGGGAAGAGGAAGAAGGGUGGGGGAGAGGUGGGGGGGGAGCCUUGGAGUCAAAGCAGGGGGGAAAGAAGGGGCAGGGACCACCGAGCAGAGCCGAGCCUGAGGCCUGAGCAACCUCUGUCAUCUGGAGUAAGCUGCUCCCCUGCGGUGAAGAAGCUGCCGGCUUUGGCUUUCAUCCUGGCUCUUGGCACAGCCCGCAUUUCUGGAGCUGUUUUGAACAAGUCUUUUCUGUUUUGGGAAAUAGCAAGUGUGCUUUUGUUGUCCAACUUUGGGAUAUACAUUUUUGUUAAAUCUUUACAUUUUUAUUGAAGUACGGCUGAUUUUCAACAUUGUGUUAGUUUCAGGUGUACGGCAAAGUGAUUCAAAUAUAUAUAUAUAUAUAUAUUUUUUUUUUUCCAGAUUCUUUUCCCUUACAGGUUAUUACAGAAUAUUGAAUAGAGUUCCCCAGGCUCUAUAGCAGGUCCUUGUUGGUUAUCUAUUUUAUAUAUACUAGUGUGUAUACAUUAAUCCCAAACAUAUACAUAUAAAUUCAUAUAAAUACAAAUUUUGAAGUGCAGAUUUAUUUUCUUAAGGAAGUUCAAAGGUUUGGACAUCUAAGAAAGAACAAAGAGGGUUUUUUUUUUUUUUUUGGUUUUAUUUUGCUUGUCGGGGCCUUGGUGCUGGCAGUUAUCAUACAAACUAUGGUCAAAAAAUUCCCUUGAGUCUCAAAGAGCUGUCAGGGCGACUCACGUUUAUUUUGCGAGAGGAAGUCUGACCCAUGCUGUAAUGCCUGUAGGCUACCUUCACAGUUCCGCAUGCUAUUUUAGGUUCAAACCCUUUAGAUACAAAUUACAUUCAAAGUUCCAGACACAAUUAGGUCUUAAUUGCGUGAAGAUUCUGGAGGUGGACAGAGAGUAAGGCUUUGGGGAGGAAACCUGAUGACAGUCCUGCCCUUGGUCCUUAGAAGCCCCUCUGAGGCUGUGAGGUCUACGCAUAGUCCAGGA
rnacentral:lncRNA from 9 species